GCAGUGGUGGUUCAGUGGUAGAUUUUUGCCUUCCGUUGCAGGAGACUUGGGUUUGAUUCCCAGCCAAUGCA
rnacentral:tRNA from 1 species